UUUUCCAGUAGGCUUAUCUGCUAUAUAGUCCUAACUAUUUCUGAUAACCUGGCUUAUAAAUCCAAACUGCGGGUUCCCUCCAAAAGUAUUCAUAUUUUCUGGUUUUCCUCUUUUUCCUCUUGAGAAAGGACAAUCUCUGCUGUAAUGCCCCUCCUGGUGGCAUGAGUAACAUGUAUUUACUUGGUAACUGCUGUUUGCAUGUAAUUGUCUUCUUAAUGUCUUCAAAAUUAUCAGUCUAUGCCCGUUUUAAAUUCUGCAUUAGUGACAUAUUGGGUUGGACUCUCUGUCCUACAUACAUCGAAGUCUUCCGUUU
rnacentral:lncRNA from 1 species